rnacentral:rRNA from 1 species
AACGAACGCUGGCGGCAUGCCUAACACGUGCAAGUCGAACGAGACCUUCGGGUCUAGUGGCGCACGGGUGCGUAACGCGUGGGAACCUGCCCUUAGGUUCGGAAUAACUCCCCGAAAGGGGUGCUAAUACCGGAUAAUGUCUUCGGACCAAAGAUUUAUCGCCUUUGGAUGGGCCCGCGUUGGAUUAGCUAGUUGGUAGGGUAAAAGCCUACCAAGGCGACGAUCCAUAGCUGGUCUGAGAGGAUGAUCAGCCACACUGGGACUGAGGCACGGCCCAGACUCCUACGGGAGGCAGCAGUGGGGAAUAUUGGACAAUGGGCGAAAGCCUGAUCCAGCAAUGCCGCGUGAGUGAUGAAGGCCUUAGGGUUGUAAAGCUCUUUUACCCGGGAUGAUAAUGACAGUACCGGGAGAAUAAGCUCCGGCUAACUCCGUG